rnacentral:rRNA from 1 species
CAUGAAGCUGGAAUCGCUAGUAAUCGCGGAUCAGAAUGCCGCGGUGAAUACGUUCCCGGGUCUUGUACACACCGCCCGUCACACCAUGGGAGUCAGCAACGCCCGAAGUCAGUGACCUAACCGAGAGGAAGGAGCUGCCGAAGGCGGGGCAGGUAACUGGGGUGAAGUCGUAACAAGGUAAC